rnacentral:rRNA from 2 species
AAUCAAAGAAGGUAAUAAUCCUGUAGUCGAAAACAUAUUCUCUCUUGAGUGGAUCCUGAGUACGACGGAGCACGUGAAAUUCCGUCGGAAUCUGGGAGAACCAUCUCCUAAGGCUAAAUACUCUCUAGUGACCGAUAGUGAACCAGUACCGUGAGAGAAAGGUGAAAAGUACCCCGGAAGGGGAGUGAAAGAGAACUUGAAACCGUGUGCUUACAAGUAGUCAGAGCCCGUUAAUGGGUGAUGGCGUGCCUUUU